rnacentral:rRNA from 1 species
CCUACGGGUGGCAGCAGUGGGGAAUAUUGGGCAAUGGGCGCAAGCCUGACCCAGCAACGCCGCGUGAAGGAAGAAGGCUUUCGGGUUGUAAACUUCUUUUAAGAGGGAAGAGCAGAAGACGCUACCUCUUGAAUAAGCCACGGCUAACUACGUGCCAGCAGCCGCGGUAAUACGUAGGUGGCAGGCGUUGUCCGGAUUUCCUGGGUGUAAAGGGCGUGUAGCCGGGCUGACAAGUCAGCUGUGAAAUCCCGUGGCUCAACCACGGAACUGCAGUUGACACUGUCGGUCUUGAGUAUCGGAGAGGCAGGCGGAAUGCGGAGUGUAGCGGUGAAAUGCGUAGAUAUUAGGAGGAACACCAGUGGCGAAGGCGGCCUGCUGGACGACAACUGACGGUGAGGCGCGAAAGCGUGGGGAGCAAACAGGAUUAGAUACCCGGGUAGUC